rnacentral:rRNA from 1 species
UACGUAGGGGGCAAGCGUUGUCCGGAUUUAUUUGGGCGUAAAGAGCGUGUAGGCGGCCUGACAGGUCAUGCCGUGUCGAAAACUCGAGGACUCAACCUCGAGAUGUCGGCGGAAACCGUCUGGCUAGAGUCCGGAAGAGGAGAGUGGAAUUCCUGGUGUAGCGGUGAAAUGCGCAGAUAUCAGGAAGAACACCUAUGGCGAAGGCAGCUCUCUGGGACCGGUACUGACGCUGAGACGCGAAAGCGUGGGGGAGCAAACAGG